rnacentral:rRNA from 1 species
GAUGAACGCUGGCGGCGUGCAUAACACAUUCAAGUCGAACGGGGCAGCAAUGCCUAGUGGCGGACGGGUGAGUAACGCGUGAGCAACCUGCCCUUGCGUGGGGGAUACCAUCUGGAAACGGAUGUUAAUACCGCAUAAAGUACAAGCGACCGCAUGGUCGUAGUACCAAAGAUUUAUUGCGCAAGGAUGGGCUCGCGUCCCAUUAGAUAGUUGGUGAGGUAACGGCCCACCAAGUCAGCGAUGGGUAGCCGGACUGAGAGGUUGAACGGCCACAUUGGAACUGAGAUACGGUCCAGACUCCUACGGGAGGCAGCAGUGGGGAAUAUUGGGCAAUGGGCGAAAGCCUGACCCAGCGACGCCGCGUGAAGGAAGAAGGUCUUCGGAUUGUAAACUUCUGUUAUGGGGGACGAACACAUGACGGUACCCCAUGAGAAAGCCACGGCUAACUACGUGCCAGCAGCCGCGGUAAUACGUAGGUGGCGAGCGUUAUCCGGAUUUACUGGGUGUAAAGGGUGUGUAGGCGGGACUGCAAGUCAGAUGUGAAAACUAUGGGCUCAACUCAUAGCUUGCAUUUGAAACUGUGGUUCUUGAGGGUCGGAGAGGUAACUGGAAUUCCCGGUGUAGCGGUGAAAUGCGUAGAUAUCGGGAGGAACACCAGUGGCGAAGGCGAGUUACUGGACGAUACCUGACGCUGAGACACGAAAGUGUGGGGAGCAAACAGGAUUAGAUACCCUGGUAGUCCACACCGUAAACGAUGAAUGCUAGGUGUGGGGGUGCAAACCUCCGUGCCGCAGUUAACACAAUAAGCAUUCCACCUGGGGAGUACGGCCGCAAGGUUGAAACUCAAAAGGAAUUGACGGGGACCCGCACAAGCAGUGGAGUAUGUGGUUUAAUUCGACGCAACGCGAAGAACCUUACCAGGACUUGACAUCCCAGGAAUUCCGGCGUAAUGGCUGGAGUGCCCUUCGGGGAAUCUGGAGACAGGUGGUGCAUGGUUGUCGUCAGCUCGUGUCGUGAGAUGUUGGGUUAAGUCCCGCAACGAGCGCAACCCUUACGGUCAGUUGCUACAUUGAGUUGAGCACUCCGGCUGGACUGCCGUUGACAAAACGGAGGAAGGUGGGGAUGACGUCAAAUCAUCAUGCCCCUUACGUUCUGGGCUACACACGUACUACAAUGGCGAAAAACGAAAGGGCAGCGAAAACCGCGAGGUGGAGCCAAUCCCAUAAAAAAUCGUCUCGGUUUCGGACUGCGGGCUGCAACCCGCCUGCGCGAAGCUGGAAUUGCUAGUAAUCGCGGGUCAGCAUACCGCGGUGAAAUACGUUUCCCGGGUCU